GUUGUGGCCCGCAGAGGCCUCGGACUGGCAAGUCACAGGUGUGCAAAGAACACCAGAGCAGUUGGUGCUGCAUUUAUUAGAGUGACUUUGGCCCUUGAGGCCAUCCCCCAGGUAAAAUGAGGAUAUUAAGAGAUCCCCGCUGCCCUCUCGUCCCGCCCCCGUGCCCGCUUCUCCGGGCCAGUACUCAUUGGAAUUGCGGCCCUUGGGGUUUCCUGAAUCAUGGAUAUUAGGAGCUGGGAAGAGGUCAUUAGCCUCGCCAGGCCGGUGGCCCCACCUGUGAUAUCAGCUACUCAGACUGAGGCAGGAGUAUUGCAAGUUUUAAACCAGGGCAACAUGGACCCUAAUCUCAAAAUUCGAAAUAAAAAGGUCUUGGGGUAUAGCUCAGGGGUAGUGCGUCCCUAGGCGUUCCCUCCACCUUAUAUAAUCUCCAUUAUCCUCUAUUUGAAACGUCCAACAACAGGGAUCUCAGUCCAGGGCACUUCAUGUCUUUUGACAGGAUGAAUGUUUAGUGCACUCCAUUCUAGAAGCCAGCUGUCUCUCUGCAUUUCCCAGUGCCUAGACAAACCUUGCUUCCCUGUGCAGCUUGUGGAGAAUGCUCUGGUAUCAGUGUAUAACUGCUUCCCUGCUGCAACCUCUGGGUAUGUUAGAACCUAUAAAAGGGGCUCUGUGGUUAAAUUGGUUGGUCAGUUAGUUCCUGAACGGAAGGAUAAUUGACUUUUACCUUCAUGGGCUUUCUUGAGAGUUGCUUUGGAGUGGGACAUGAUUUAGGCAUAAGCAAUAAAAAAAAAAAAAAACACCUUGAAAAGGAGAUAGGUAUAAUGUUCUCUUCAAGAGGUCAUUAGCCUUGCUGGCUUCUAGGUUCUUCCCUGGGUUUAACUUCAUAGAACAUUUAGUAGGGGCAGGGAAUUGUAGCACAAAAGAGCUACACAGUCUAACCCUCUUUAUUUUACAGGUCAGGAAGCUGAGGCCUAAAAAAGGAAAGACUCUUUGAGGUCCAUAGAGCAAGCUAGUGGCAGAGAUGAGACUUAAGUUCAGGUCUCCCUAUUCCCAGGCAGUUUUCAUUCUAACCCUUGUAUAUUUUGGGUGCCACAGAAAACAGAUGGCACAUUUAAAUUGGUUAAUUUGAGGUAGGAUGUAGGGAAACAGCUAGGGAUAGUGGAAUCUUGCCACCUGUACUUCUGGAGGCGCAGAUGCUAUGUGGAGGAUCGUCUUACUAGAGGUGGGACUUUGGGUCAAGAAAUUCAGGAAAGGAGUUGGAAUAAAAACUGCCCUCACUUCUUCCCUCUGGUCUGUCAAAGCUUCCCCUGGACCCAACAGAAUUGGAAAUCAGGGCAAGGGAGUCUUGAGUAGUCCAAACAGGGCAGUUCUAAAGCAUAACAUGAUAGAAAAGAAUGAAGAAUGUACCUAGAAGGACAAAUGAAAGCUAUCCAGCAUAACAUGCAAUCUGGCUUCUAAUAUAAAGUUUACAUUAAUAUUUAAACCAGGUAUAGUUUACAUUUCUUGAGCAUUUGCUCUCUGCCAAGCGUGUCUAUGAUCUCAUUACAUGUUCGCAUAAAUUCAGUUUUCUCCAUUUGACAGAUAAACUGACCAGUGAAACAACUUGAGGGAUGAAGGUUUGAAUAACCAAGUUGACAUCAGUGUCUCCAGAAUCCUGAAUUGUAAACAGUCAUUACUCUGUGGAAUGAAAAGAAAGUGAAUAAAGAGCAAACAUUCAAGGCUCCCUGAAGAGCCUUCCCUGUGCUCGUUCUCCUGGGACUUGUGGAAGCUCAGCUGCAGGGACUGAAGGCCAUCUGCUGAGCUGAGUUAUAUGCCUGAUGGGGUCUCACCUGCUGAUUUAUAAUAGGCCAACAUCUUGAGGUUAAAGGAGCCAGUAUGGAAGACUGAAAACAUAUCUUGGUCUUCUGCUUUUCUUUCCUAGUGGAGGAUAGCUUUUGGAAUUAAAACUUUCUCUCAAGUCAUCUUUACCCACCCCCUGAUUCUUAUACCCCACAAUCUGGGCAGGGGCCCAGAGUGCUGCCUCUUUUCCCUGAUCAACUCCUACUCACUGUUCCACCCACAAGCCCUGUUCUGCUAAUUGCAUUGCUGGUGCUGCUGCUGGAACAUAGCGUUCUUCAGGGAUGAACCAACAACCAAUUUGAUGAGGAGAGUUUUACUAGCACCCCUAAAAUGGCCUGCUGUGGAGCAGAAAGCUCAGCUUAACAGCAUUGGGCUCUAUUCUCCAAACUUCCUCUCCCUGGUCACCUCUUCUCCAGAAUCUCUUUUUAUUGGCCUCUUCUUUCCUAGAUGGUCCAAUAACUCUUUCAUUUGUUGUUGGGUAGAAAGUAGGGACCUUGCAGAAGCAAGAAUUGAAACUUUGGCUAGGGACUUGUCCAAGAUCACACAGACGUUAAGGAUGGAGCUGGCAUUUGAACUCCCAAGGUUCAUCCUGAUAAACUUUCCAUUCAGAAUAAACCUGAUGCUGCAGCAUUUGGGUUCAGAGCCUUUUCCUCAUGCCAUUGCCUGUGUCCCUGGGGCUUGUUCAUGUCAAAUCUACUGUUUCAGCUCACUCUUCUGGGUUUCCACAUCGAUUUGCCUAAUAUUUGGUACAUCCUCUUACAGUCCUUUCCUGGUGGUGUCUCUUCCAUCAGGAGGUAAUUUCACCUAUUUCUUUUUUUUUUUUAAUUUUUUUAACACUUUUUUUUGAAGAUUGAUGUGAUUUUUUUAUAUACCUUUAUUUUAUUUAUUUAUUUUAUGUGGUGCUGAGGAUCGAACCCAGCGCCUUGCACAUGCUAGGCCAGCACUCUACCGCUGAGCUCCAGCCCCAGCCCCAAUUUCACCUAUUUCUACUGGCAACAUCCAACCCAUUCACCAACCUAGCUCAUGCCACCUUGUCCACAAUAUCCUUCCAGUCUCAUUUGCCUGCAGAUUCCCAAGCUCCCUUUUGUAGGCCUUCUCUAAAGUAUUUCUUGUAUUAUUUAUUUUGUUACAGUGUGUUAGUCAGUUUUUCAUUGUUGUGACAAAGUACCUGAGAAAAACAAAAGGAGGAAAGGUUUAUUUUCACUCAAAGUUUGAGAGGUUUCAGGCUGUGGUUGCUUCACCCUGUUGCCAUGGGACCUUAUCAAGGAGAACAGUAAGGCAAGGAGGGCAUAGCAGAGCAAAGCUGUUCACAUUAAGGCAGCCAGGAAACAGACAAAGAGGGAGAGAAGAGAUGGAGGAAGGGGAAGGGGCUCUAGACAAAAUAUUCCUUUCAAGGACAUGCCCCCACUGACAUACUCACUGCAACUAGGCCUUCCUUUCUAAAGUUUCCCCACCUCACAAUAGUCCAUUAAGCUGUGAAUCCAUCAGUAGAUUAAUCCAUUCAUGAGGUCAGAGCCAAUCACUUCCCAAAGAUCCCGACUAUGAACACUGUUGCAUUAGGGACCAAGCCUUCAACACAUGAGU
rnacentral:lncRNA from 1 species